rnacentral:rRNA from 1 species
AGCCUUAGGACAAAAGAUCUUAGGUUAGACCUGCCCAAUGUGUUUUAAUGAAUGGCCGCGGUACUUUGACCGUGCUAAGGUAGCGCAAUCAAUUGGCUUUUAAUUGGAGCCAGGUAUGAAUGGAGUUACGGGGUUUAGCUGUCUGUUGAUUAAUACAUUGAAGUUACUAUUUAGGUGAAAAAGCCUAGGUAAAAAAGGGGGACGAGAAGACCCUUAGAGUUUUUCUUAAGUUGAAAAAUUUUCAUAAUGGUUUGGUUGGGGCAACAAGGGAUCAUUAAACAUCCCUAUAAUUAAUUAACCGAUUUUGAUAAAUAUAAAUAAACUACCUUAGGGAUAACAGCAUAAUUUUAUAAAUAAGUUUGUGACCUCGAUGUUGGACUAGGAAACUAAUUGGCUAGCCGCUUUUUAGGUAAGUUCUGUUCGAACUAGUAUUCCU